rnacentral:lncRNA from 10 species
CCACUUUCAGUACUUACCUAACCAAUCUCCCAUAACACUUGACACUCUUUUUUUUAAUUAAUUAAUUUUUUUUUUUUGAGACGGAGUUUCUCUCCUUGCCCAGGCUGGAGUGCAAUGGCGUGAUCUCAGCUCACCACAACCUCCACUUCCCAGGUUCAAGCAAUUCUCCUGCCUCAGCCUCCUGAAUAGCUGGGAUUAUAGGCAUGUGCCACCACGUCCGGCUAUUAUUUGUAUUUUUAGUAGAGAUGGGGUUUCGUCAUGUUGGUAAGGCUGGCCUUGAACUCCCGACCUCAGGUGAUCUGCCCGCCUCAGCCUCCCAAAGUUCUGGGAUUACAGGCGUGAGCCACCACGUCCACCCACUUGACACUCUUGACUAUAAUAAACUCACUUAAGAAACCCACUGAAUUCACCAUAAAUAUUGUCAUUCCUUCUCAUAGCCUUAAUAAUAAAGUAUCUAUAAUUAUCUUCAGGUUUUACCUCUCCUUUGAGCUACAGAUCCAUCUGUCCUACAAAACAGGCUUGAAAUCCAAAUUUAUUACCUAUUUCCAACCUUAUCCUUUUGCAUAUCUCAUUUCACUUAAUCACAUCAUCUCUACCUUGGCUCAGAGCCUCAUAAUAAGAGCCUCAUAAUAUUUUGUGGGAGCAGUUUCCAAACUGAUCUACCUGAUCUCUUUUCACUAAUCCAUCUAUCACACUGCUGUCAAUGUAAUCUCAACAAAUUAUUCCCCAUCUUAAAACCCUUAACUUCUCAUACCUUAUAAAGUAAACUCUAUACUCUUGGGAGUCUCAUAUAAACGAGGACUUUAUGAUCUGCCUAUCUUUCCAGUCCCAUCUCUUGGGUCCCAUAUCAAACCAUUAACACUUAACUAAGCACAGUAACACAUCCCCAUGCCCUUGCAAAGCUGAUAUCUAGUGUAAGAAACACGUGUCACACAUUAUUCUUCGCUGCUAAAUUCAAAACUCCCUCCUCCUUCCCAAGACCUUUAAAGUCAGUCCCUCACUUCUCUGCUCCCCAAAAUGCCUUGUAAGUAUCUCAAUAUUAAGAACCGUCAGGCUGUGCGCGGUGGCUCACACCUGUAAUCCCAGCACUUUGGGAAGCCGAGGCGGGUGGAUCACCAUAGGUCAGGAGUUCGAGACCAG